AGGCACAUUAUGCGCUAUUACUCUAUUCUUUUAAAGAAUAGAUGCAACAACAUGUUCAUGUACAUGCCAUGGAAGUAGUAAUGGCUUGCUGGGAGAUUGAGCAAUCCCUACAAAGCUUAACAGCAUGCAGCUCAUCUAGAUUUGGACACAUCCACAUCUUUCUUUGGUGUUUAUGAUGGCCAUGGAGGUAACCAAUUUUUAUGACCUUCUAAUUGUAAGGUUUGCUAAACCUUGUGAUUAUGUUCAUCUGAUUAUUUCAUUUUCUAAGACAAAAGCAGGGCAACAACAUCAUCAAUCUGAAGACAUCAAACUUGGAUGGCAUAUGUGAAGUUUUCAUAUGCUAGUUGACCUUAACCACAUGCACUGCACUCUUCGUAACCAAUGAACCAUUCAUUUUUUUACUUUUUUAUUUUUUAGAUGGGAACACACCAGUCGUUGAAUUAAUUCACUAAUUUUAGACAUAAAAUGUGCUCACAUGGGUGGCCCAUUGCUGGAUGUGUAAGUAGAGGCCUCCACUAGUCCUCCAAGUACAGUACAUACAGAAGCAAUGAAAAGAAAAAGGAAAAGAAAAAGAAAUGAUAAUCUUCUAUUGUUUGAAGAACUAAAGAGAAGAAAAGAAUAGAAAGAUGGAGGAGAAAGAAGAAAAAACAAAAUUUUAUUAGGUGAGUAAUAAGGGCAAACAAAUUCACCAUUUGAAAAAUAAAAAAUAAAAGUAGGGGUAAAACAGGUAUUAACUAUAUUUUCAUUUCUUUUGUAUUCAAAUUCCUCAAAAAAACAAAAUUUAAAAGGUAACAUUUAAGAGCAUCUUCAAUGGUGUACUAACCAAAGCAAAAACUUGGUUCCGCUCCUCAAAUUAUGAUAUUGCUAAAUUGUGUGUCAAACUUGACAAUUGAUUUUGGAUUUGGAUCAUUGCUCUUAUUUGUUGUUGCAAGUAAGGAACAUGGAAGAAUGGCAUGGAAAUCUCCUACUAGACUAUGUGAUGCUUUUGGUGUUGGCAUCAGUAAGCACUCCGACUCAUUGAAAGUGGAAUGUUAAACUACUUAGCCUAAACAGAAAUGAAAAGGGCAACAGAUAUGACAGAAUAGCAGAGACCAUUAUGUUUAUUUUCCUCAUUUUUCAGCUGUUUUAUUUUUCAUUUUCCAUUUAAGAUACUUGUUAUAUGCUUAAGAGCUAAACUCUUAUAUAAACUUUUCUAGGUACUACAUCCUUUUACUAAGAACUUACUUUUACGAGGUUUAGAAAGAUUUGCAAUGUUUGCAAAAAGGUACCCCAUGAACUCAAAAAGGCGAUGUCCAAAUUAUGGGACGUAGGUGAUGACUUUACCAAAAUUAUUAGCAUGGACCCAUUCUUUCAAAGGAGAAAGUAAGUCUGGCAACCAAAGAUUGUAAUGCAUCUAUAUUUCAUAAAGAGGAAUUAAGAUAUGUGCAAUUUUUUCAUCCAUUUAAUUUAUAGAGACAUUUCUAUCUCCUUAUACAAGAUGUUUUUGUUUGUUUAUAAUGGUCCUGUAUUUUGUGAAACCAUGAAAAGCUUUCCCCUGUUUACUAUCCCUUAGGUGGUUUCUGGCUCUCCCAGUGUAUUGAAAAGCUUGACCUGUCUUACUUUGAGGUAAUGAGAUAGCCAAGUAGAUCAAUUAUAACAUGGAUAGGUUGAUUGAUGAGUUGUCAACAGCUUAAGCUUUUGUUCAUCAAAAUAAAUGUUUCUCAAUUUUUUGUUUUGGUUUUUAUUUUGUUUUCAAUGAUUUAUCUUUGUAGAAAAACAGUUUAGAUAUAAUGGUUGAAUCGACAAAAUCAUUCCUGUAUAUAUCUAUGAAAUCAGAGCAAAUUUCACAGCAAUGUUAUUAGACUGAUAUUUUAUUCACAAGGCCACAAUCCUAGUUUAUGCACCAAGAAGUGUAGCCCUUAGGACAGUAAGCUCCCUGAAAUAAGAGCAGAUCCCUAUUUCUUUAUAGAAUAUGGGAUUAUUCCCACUAAGUCAUGGUAUUGGAUGAAUUUUAGAUUUUCUGUUAACUAUUCCUGUUUUUGUUGCAAUUUGGAUUUUUUUUCCCUGCCAAAUUAUUCAUUGGACCAUUCAAGGUAAUUGAUUUUUAUGGUCACCUUUCUCUGUGGCACAUCAAUAUGCAUCAUUCUUUCUCCGUUUUAUUUUUAUUUGUUUUAUAUUUACAUUAGUUUAUUGACCCGAUGUGAUUGUUAGUGUAAAUAAACCAUAAGCAAAGCACAACUUUGAACUUUUCCAACCAUAGAAGAAAAACUUGCAUUGCACUGCUCUAGAAAUUUAGCUUCAUCCUAAUUUAAAAAUUUCUAUUAACAGCAUUUAAUUUCUUUGACAUUGAGUUGUCUUUCUAUGUUUUAAAUAAUAUUUCAAAUGUUGCAACUGUACCACCUUAGUGUAGACACCCCGUUUUUUACUACCCUUAAAACUUGGGUGCUUUAUUCCAAACACCGGAUGAUGAAACUUACACUGUGCAAUCUUUUGAAUUUUCAACAAAGAAAUUUGGAUUCAAGUUCUAAUCCCAAACC